rnacentral:tRNA from 1 species
GGGGCAUUAGCUCAGCUGGGAGAGCGCAUGACUGGCAGUCAUGAGGUCGGCGGUUCGAUCCCGCUAUGCUCCACCA